UACGGGGGGGGCAAGCGUUGUUCGGAAUUACUGGGCGUAAAGGGCUCGUAGGCGGCCAACUAAGUCGGACGUGAAAUCCCUCGGCUUAACCGGGGAACUGCGUCCGAUACUGGAUGGCUUGAGUUUGGGAGAGGGAUGCGGAAUUCCAGGUGUAGCGGUGAAAUGCGUAGAUAUCUGGAGGAACACCGGUGGCGAAGGCGGCACCCUGGACCAACACUGACGGUGAUGAGCGAAAGCCAGGGGAGCAAACGGG
rnacentral:rRNA from 1 species